GACAGAGGCCUCAAGCGUUAGGCGGAAUCACUGGGCUUAAAGCGUGUGUAGGCGGAUCGUUAAGUACCUUGUGAAAUCCCACGGCUCACCCGUGGAACUGCUGGGUAUACGUGGCGGUCUUGGGCCAACUAGGGGCAGCUGGAACAAGCGGUGGAGCGGAUGAAUGCGUAGAUAUCGCUUGGAACGCCGAAGGUGAAAACAGGCUGCUGGGGUUGUGCCGAC
rnacentral:rRNA from 1 species